rnacentral:lncRNA from 1 species
GGCUCAUCAUAGUCUACCACCGAUAUUAACAAUAUUGUUCUCAAUUACUUAUUACUAAGUGUAAAAAUUUUAUUAUAAAAAAUCUUAAUAAUAUUAGGGGUGAAAUAUUUUAUAUAUAAAUUGUAUAAUAUUUAUUAUAUUUAUUAUAUUCAAAAUCAACUAUACAAAAUUUCCAUGGUCGUGCAUGCAAUCAUAACCAAAAUCAACAGUAAUGGUAGAAGUUUUAAAAUAAAACUGGCCGUCCUUAUUUAUUUUUCUUGCAGUUUCUCAAAGGGUAAAAUGGUAAUUAAAAUGUUUCUCAAAAUAGUGAGUGUAAAAUACGAAUUCUGAGAAGCAUUUAAAAAAUAGUUUGAAUUUUGAGAAUUUAAUUAUAAACUGGGUGAAAAGUGGGCAACCGGGCCAAGGGCAAUGCCCACGCUCUUCUGAGCGCAGGGGUCAAGAGUACUGCAUGCAGAAAGAUCCUCAUCAAAAUAAUGACUGAAGGAACACACUUCCCUCCCAUCUUAAUAUCUUUACAAAGGUGACUUGGAGAUACCACAGCCCUUCAAAUCGGAUAAACACAAGUUCAUCCAACAACAUCAUAUGAUUAAAAAGAUUAUGCGAGAUUAGCUCUUCUUCAAUAGCCACGUACAAGGCAUAUACUCUUCUUUGAAGGGAUAAUCUAUUGCACCAAUAAUCCUUUCAUCCCUCCCCUCCCUGGGUUGAAAGACUUAAACACACUUGGUUAGCUACAAUAAUUUGAUAUCGAACUCGUUAUCUACAUAAAUCAAACUUAAGACCGUCACCUACAAAAUAAAGAAGAGUAUUACUAAAUUGUAGUACUAAUAAAUGACGUAUAUUAUCACAUUUACUAUUUUGGAUUAACUACAUUUUGCACUACAAGGUUUUGGAAUUCUUUGCAAAUGAGCCACGAAGUUUCAAUUUACGCAUAUUACACCACGUGGUUUUUUAAUGACACCAAUGUAACACCUUCGUCAAUUUCAUAAAAAUUUUUACUUCUCAUACACUCCUCGUUAAUUACUGCCGUUUGAUCUUUUUUAAUUCAGUCGAUCCAACGAUCACAAAUUAAAAGAGUAUAUAUCAAGGAAAAAGGGGUGUGGAUAACACACCCCUUUCAUAAAAAAUUAAAAUAAAGUACUAACAGUGAAAUUGACUAUCAAGGUGUGUUUCAAAUGUGGGACCAUACUAUUCAAAAACAACACAGUGUAAUAUGCUAAAAUUAAAACCUUGUAGCUUAUUUUUACAAAAUGAUCUCCAAACCCUGUGGUGUAAAAUCCAGUUAACCCAACUUUGUGCAUCCUAUCUUUUUCUGCUUUAAUCAAUAAUACUCACACAUUAUUACCUUCAACAUCACAUGAUGUAGAAAGAGAUGGAGCACACACUCAUCACGGGAUCACGUCAGUUCAGCAUUUCUCUAUCAAAUAGACUAAUCUUCAAAUUUAAAACAGAUUCUUAUGGUUCUUGCAUUGUAUAGACACGCUGCCAUUGUUACAAUUAGAUUGACAGUAUUCUUCUCUUUUCAUCAGUAAUAGUGUGGAGCCAAAAAUAAUCAAGAGGCGACACAUGGAUUUUUGGGUAAAAAAUGACAAAAUUACAUUUGAGGUACACCAGAAUUUCUACGCGCGAGCAGUGGACAAUCAUUCCUUAAUCAAGUCAAAAGUACCCAAAUAUGUAUUUAUUUAUAAACUAUUUCAUCCAUUGCUCAUCAUAUCUUCUCCACAAUGUAAUCCUUAAAUCAUUCCUUUUUUAUUAUAUUAACUAGCUAAUUAAUUAAUUAAUUAUUCAAUUAAUUUGCUAAUUAAACACAAAUCAUGAACGUGACCCACAAAUCCAUCCAAGUGGCCGGUCCAUCUCCUCCCAAGGUGGCCGACCACACUCCUAUAUAAACCCCCUCAUUAUCUCC